UAUAGGGCGAAUUGGGCCCUCUAGAUGCAUGCUCGAGCGGCCGCCAGUGUGAUGGAUAUCUGCAGAAUUCGCCCUUAGGCCUAACACAUGCAAGUCGAGCGGGCGUAGCAAUACGUCAGCGGCAGACGGGUGAGUAACGCGUGGGAACAUACCUUUUGGUUCGGAACAACACAGGGAAACUUGUGCUAAUACCGGAUAAGCCCUUACGGGGAAAGAUUUAUCGCCGAAAGAUUGGCCCGCGUCUGAUUAGCUAGUUGGUGAGGUAACGGCUCACCAAGGCGACGAUCAGUAGCUGGUCUGAGAGGAUGAUCAGCCACAUUGGGACUGAGACACGGCCCAAACUCCUACGGGAGGCAGCAGUGGGGAAUCUUGGACAAUGGGGGAAACCCUGAUCCAGCAAUGCCGCGUGAGUGAUGAAGGCCUUAGGGUUGUAAAGCUCUUUUACCAGGGAUGAUAAUGACUAGUACC
rnacentral:rRNA from 1 species